CCGAGGCUGGCCUGGCCUUGCAGUUUUGUGUGGCAGCUCCCAAGAUCCGGGAGUCGGACUCCUGGGCAGCUGGGGUCCGCCAGGCCGUCCCGUUACCCCAGGCCCAUAGCUCAUGGACCUCCAGCCCUAUAUGAAGGCACUGCCUGUAGCUGGGAUCUGAUGCUUGCUGGUGCCAACAGCUGAUACCAGGUGCGCUGGGAUGACGGAAGCACAUCACAGCUUCCAGCUUUCCCACGAAGUCUGGGGAUUCAAACUCAGGUCUUCAUGAGAUCUCCCACGGAGCGGUAUCUGGGGAGGCCGAGAACACAGAAGAAGCUGAAGGGGGAAUGGGAAAGACACUGCCACCAAGUUGUUGGGU